GGGGUGACUAUGGGAUUGGGGAACCCUUUUACGGAUGUCUCUUGCUUGAGCACAUUACAGUACAUGGCAGUAAAUGAGAGUACAUGGCAGUAAAUGAGAGUACAUUACAUUAAGUGAGAGUACAUGGCCGUAAACGAGAGUACAUGGCAGUAAUUGAGAGUACAUGGCAGUAAAUGACAGUACAUGGCAGUGCAUUGUAAGUAAAUGAGAGUACAUGGCAGUAAAUGAGAAUACAUGGCAGUACAUGGUAGUAAAUGAGAGUACAUGGCAGUAAAUGAGAAUACAUGGCAGUACAUGGUAGUAAAUGAGAGUACAUGGCAGUAAAUGAGAGUACAU